AUGACCCAAGGAGAAGGAGAUCCACCUGGGAGUCUGAGCACUGGAAGUGCCACAGCCCUCAUCUUCCUGAUGAAGGGAAGGGAGGGAGAAGGGAGUUGGCAUAGCAGCAGACCUGGUCAUGAUGCAGGCUGGCUGGGAGACCAUGGCCAAGGCACUUCUGACCUCCAGGCCUCAUCUAUGAAAAGCUGGAGACACUGGGAUGACAUCUUACUUUAUGGACACACAUGUUCUAUCAGCUCUCAUGUAGUGCGUACACCUGGACCGCAGACAGGUGCAGGGAGCCAGGAUAUGACAGAGAGCAGAAAGGACACAUUCUGACUUUGUGGAGAUUGUGGUCUGUAGUGGGGGAGGGUGGGGGUGGUUAGGCCAGGGAGAAACUGAUAAUCACUCUGUUAUAAACUGUGAUGCCAGUUUUGAAGGAACAUUCUACAGGGCUGUGACAGUACCCUUUCCCGAGCACUUUUGCAAUUUAUGGGGCGGGGGAAUCUGACUGAGGUUUGACCCCCAAACAGAAACUGCCUUUGUUCAUUGUUCAUUCAUUCAUUUAUUCAUUCCUUUAACAAAUUAUAAUGAACACUUAUCUUUGGAGUAAGAACUUUGCAUUUUAUAUUCCCCAAGGAAAGUAUAAAUGAAAGCUGACAGAAAGGUAUAACGUGAAAUGGGACUGGGAACUGGUUUAUUUGUUCAACUAAAUUCUAGAGGAAUUUGACAAGUGCUGCAAGGUGGACCACGGUGAACCCAUGGCUUUGAAUUUGGGCUUUGCUAUGAGUCUAAGAUCUAAGGAUAAUUUUGGAACAUUCUGUAGUCUAAGUGUUUUCAUCUGUAUAUAAAAUAGAACAUUUCUGAAGUUCUGGCAGUCUAGUGGGUUGAGCAUCUGGUGUCGUCACUACUGUAGCUGGGGUUCAAUCCCUGGCAUGGGCACUGGCAUGGACAGCCAAAAAAAAAAAAAAGAAUAUUUCUAAGUAUUUUCUAUAUGGUGCUAAGUGCUGUGCCUGCAUGAAUGGUCCCUAACACCACCUUAUGAGAUAGGUACUUUCCUAUCUCCAUUUAAGAGAUAGAGAAACUGAUGCUCAGAGAGAAAAAAGGUCUCUGGCAUUGCAACACUGCAGAGGGCUCUCCCUGUGGUCCCACGAAGAACAGGUCCCUCACAGGAACCUGGGGACCAUAGAGUGGGGGGGGGCAGGGUGUCUCUAAACCUUUGUGAUUUCUCGUCUCUCUCAGUAAAUAAUAUUAGACAUGCCCGCAUUCUUUGUAUUUGCUUAAAAGCAUAGAUGUAUUCAACCAUACAGCAAAUCCUCGUAAAGAUUAACUCAUCUUGGAUAAAAUUAAAUUGUCUUAAAAUAAAUAUAAUAAAGUUGCUACCUGCCCCCCCCCA
rnacentral:lncRNA from 1 species